ACUUUAGAUAUGAUCCAGAGUACCACGGGACACGCGAACCCCUGUGGGAAGCAGGAGGGACCACCCUCCAAGGCUAAAUACUACCUAGUGACCGAUAGCGUAUAGUACCGUGAGGGCAAGGUGAAAAGAACCCCGGGAGGGGAGUGAAAUAGAACCUGCAACCCCGCACUUACAAGCUGUGGAAGCACAUUUCUUGUGUGACCGCGUACUUUUUGUAGAACGGCAAGAGUUACGUUAAGUA
rnacentral:rRNA from 1 species